AAAGCUUUAAGUUAAAUAAACUAUCAACCUUCAAAGUUGAAUUUAUACUAUUCAUUUCAGUAUAAGCUUUA
rnacentral:tRNA from 1 species